rnacentral:lncRNA from 13 species
AGCCUGUCAAGGGUAAGGGGGAGCAUCAGGAAGAACAGCAAAUGGAUGCUGGGCUUAAUACCCAGGUGAUGGGUUGCUCUGUCCAGCAACCAUCAGGGCACACAUUUACCUAUGUAAGAAACCUGCACAUCUGCACAUGUACGCUAGAACUUAAAAUAAAUGUUACAGAAAAUAAAAAGAAUGAGGUAAUAACUAAACUGAAUUUGUAAAAGUGGUAGGAACAAAGAAAACGCAUUCAUUGGGCAGAUUCUAUGGAUUGAGUACUCCUACUUUCAUAACUCUGAACUCUCACCACAACCCCUUGAGAUAUAGGAAUUUUGUUUACAUGUUGGGAGAUGGGGAAACUGGAGCUUAAAGAGGUUAGGUUGCUCAGACUGCACAGACAGUAAGAGACAGGGCUAAGAUCAAACAUAGAUCUGUAUUAUUCUCAAUCUUGUCUCUAUUUUCACCUUCAGCCCUUGAAGUUUUGCUGAAGACAUAAAAUAAUUGCAAUAUGUUCCCAGCAAACUAAAAUAAUUAUUCUGUCAAUGAAUGCCCACUGCUAGUUUUUCAAAUACAAGUAUUCUACCCUUACAGGUCAUCUCUCUGCCAAGAAUUUGAAGUGCUUUAGGAACUUGAUUCUGUAAGUUCAAUGGGAGCAUACCCCCUAAUGAUGAAACCACGCAUCCUAUUCUAGUAAUGGAAAUGCUAUAGCAACAAAUCUAGCCCAAGUGACACCUGAAGAAGAUCAUUUUUGACACUCCCUCCUCUAUAUGUUCAAAAUUUCCUAUUGAAGAUCAAAAAUAUAUACAUCCAGUAACUAAUAAGUAAAGUUUAAUGAAAUGGAAAUGUCUGCAAAAUACAAUUUAGUAACUGGCACAUUUUCAAGCAGCUGUCCGGUGGCUCUUGGAGUCUCACCACUAAGCCAUCAGCAAGGUCAGUCAACAACUUCUUCUCAACAUUUGCAUCACAAUCACUUUAUUACAAAGCAUCCUUUUUCUUCAAUAUGUCCACUAUAGUGACAUUCUCAUUGGUGUCCACACAGAAGAUGUGGAGGAUGUCUCCACAGAUCCUUUAAAAAUUUAAGUCACAGCACAUUACUUCCUUGCUCAACAAUCUCCAAUGGCUUUCCAAACACUGAUAAGUAAAUCCAAAAUUCUUACCACCAUCUACAAUGAGACCUAUCUCUGACUAUCUUGUUAAUAUAGUCUCCCAUCAUUUAUUCCUCAUUCACUCCACUUCCUCUCCAUAGCAUCUGUGCGCUUUCUCAAAUAGGCUGAGACCAUGUCCACAUUUGGCCUUUGCAUUUGCUAUUCCAUCUGCCUGGAAUGCUAUUCCACUUUAUCUUUGCAACAGCUUGAUUUGUGCCUCAUUUAAGUCUCUGCUUAGAUGUAAUCUCAUCAAUCUGGCUGUUCGUAAGCAUUCUAUUUGAAACGACAUUCCUGUUAUUCUCCAUGCCCUUAUCCUGCUUUGCUUUUUUAAAACAUCAGUAGUCACCGACCAAUAUUAUAUAUCACCAACUGAUAUAUUCAAGGUAGACAUUUGAAUUUGGAGCUCAUCAGAGAGCUUAUUUAAUUCUCUUUAUGCAAUUACCUAUGACCAAAUAAGACAAUUAGGGGCCAGGAACUAGCAUUAAACUCAAGACCCUGGAAUUGUAAGGGGAAUGUGAAAGGCUGUGGACCUAGUGGGUAAUGCUAAAGAAUGUAGUAUUGCAGCAAUAAUGGGGCAUUAAGGCAAACAGUACUGGGGUAGCCAAAGAAGUUACCAAGCAUUCCAAAAUCACCCAAACAUCGAGAUGUAACAAAAGUUGUUCUGUACCUCCAACAAUAGUCUAGGUUGUUACCCUAAUUUUCUUUCAUUGUGUCGGGUCCACUUAACAUUUGUUUCACUUUUUACUUAUAGCACUAUUUCUGCUUUUUCAUUAGGACUUAUAUUUGUCUUCACUUACCCAAAUCUAAAAGUGGACCUAAGUUAACAGGUAAAGUUUCUUUGAACCAGCAAAUACAACUAAGUUAAGGA